rnacentral:rRNA from 1 species
GACGAACGCUGGCGGCGUGCCUAAUACAUGCAAGUAGAACGCUGAAGGAGGAGCUUGCUUCUCUGGAUGAGUUGCGAACGGGUGAGUAACGCGUAGGUAACCUGCCUGGUAGCGGGGGAUAACUAUUGGAAACGAUAGCUAAUACCGCAUAAGAGUAGAUGUUGCAUGACAUUUGCUUAAAAGGUGCAAUUGCAUCACUACCAGAUGGACCUGCGUUGUAUUAGCUAGUUGGUGGGGUAACGGCUCACCAAGGCGACGAUACAUAGCCGACCUGAGAGGGUGAUCGGCCAGCCUGGGACUGAGACACGGCCCAGACUCCUACGGGAGGCAGCAGUAGGGAAUCUUCGGCAAUGGACGGAAGUCUGACCGAGCAACGCCGCGUGAGUGAAGAAGGUUUUCGGAUCGUAAAGCUCUGUUGUAAGAGAAGAACGAGUGUGAGAGUGGAAAGUUCACACUGUGACGGUAACUUACCAGAAAGGGACGGCUAACUACGUG